rnacentral:rRNA from 1 species
GUGGGGAAUCUUAGACAAUGGGCGCAAGCCUGAUCUAGCCAUGCCGCGUGAGCGAUGAAGGCCUUAGGGUUGUAAAGCUCUUUCGUGGGGGAAGAUAAUGACUGUACCCCAAGAAGAAGCCCCGGCUAACUCCGUGCCAGCAGCCGCGGUAAUACGGAGGGGGCUAGCGUUGUUCGGAAUUACUGGGCGUAAAGCGCACGUAGGCGGACUGGAAAGUCAGGGGUGAAAUCCCGGGGCUCAACCCCGGAACUGCCUUUGAAACUCCCAGUCUUGAGUUCGAGAGAGGUGAGUGGAAUUCCGAGUGUAGAGGUGAAAUUCGUAGAUAUUCGGAGGAACACCAGUGGCGAAGGCGACUCACUGGCUCGAUACUGACGCUGAGGUGCGAAAGCGUGGGGAGCAAACAGGAUUAGAUACCCCGGUAGUCC